CUAUACUUUCUUUUACUUUAACAGAAAAGGGUGAAUAUGUGAGAGAAAUAAUUGUUCAAGAGUUUGCUAAAGGUUUUGAUGCACUUGGACUAGCAACCUUGGAAACAGCUGCUUCAAGGGUUCCUUUCAGUGGAUUCCUUUUUUCCUCUUUAAUGAUCGAAGAAGAUGUGAACAACCUCAGAACCUUCCAACGCCUUCUACUCUUGUUGUCAGGGACCAGAUGAAAAGAAGAUAACAAUGUAAGAUUUCAGUUAUCCUUAAUUGUAGAUAGACCAACUACUGCACAAUUCUAGAUGUUGAUGGAUUCAUGGAUAUGAUGAUCUUAGGAACAAAUUUCUCUCUCUAAAAUUUUUCUUUACAUGCCAUUGUUGGGUUGGUGAUACUUGCUUCAAAUGUUCGAGAUAUGAAGAGUUCAAGUAUUAUUUAAUAGUUAUUACUUUAUAUUUUUAAGUAUUAGAAUGUCAAAUUUAAUUUCACCUAUUUUGAUUUUGUUUAUUUAGUUAGUAGAUUGGACUUUAUGUUAGGAUUUUCUUUAUUGAGUGAGUGCCUCUCUUGUUGCAUCGGAGAAUUGGAUAAAAAGUUGAGUGAUUCCCUUCAAUUCAAUUUCCAAACUAUGAUGUAGACAAGUUAGGUUGAGGAGUCGCUUUCUUGUUACGUUAAGAAAUUUGAUAAAAAGUAGAAUGAUUUUUUUUAUAUUCAAUUACAAUCUAUCCCUUUUGUUUUAUAUUUUAAUUUCAAUUUAUCUUUUUAUUCAAUUUCAAUCCUUAUCUUCAUGUUUAUUGAUUGUUUUGUAUCAAGUGGAAAUUAGUAGUCCUUUCAAUGUCAAAUGACAUGCAGGGAAUCAUACAGGUUAGCCAGUACCAGAGCCAAACACUUCACAUGGAGAACCUAUCAUUAGUUCCAACUCAACUUGAAUCUGUUCAAGAGAUUCUUCCUGUUCUAUCUAUCGUUUGCAUUUUCUUGAAUACAGCAUUGUAGCUAUUUCCUCAAUUCUUCUAUGUUUGUAAAAUGUUAACAGCUACCACCAGAAUCCCAGCAGCAGUUACUUCAGUUGCCAGCUAAUAUGGUGAGACAGUUAAUAUCUCGCGCCGCUGCAAGAACAAUAAGGAGGAUUUUCUUAUGAACUCCGGGCAGUAUACAUGUGUCACACACUGAGCAGAUGAAUUCUGUUUGCUCUAAUCAACUCACCAUCACCAGAUAACAUUGAAAAAUGUAGGAUCCAUAUGACAGGGCAUUGAAUUUGUACAUAAGCAUAAGAAUAAGCAGCAUAGCUUAUGCACAUUGCUGAUUCAGCAAGAGAUUUUGAGCCUUACAAUUCAUGUUCAGAAGAACUUGUUUUGGAUACUAUCUGAAAAAAUGAAAGUAUUCAUAGUAUCUUCCAUGGUAUCAACUCUGGCCAUGUUCGUUUUCUCUUU